UAAGGGAAUCUUCGGCAAGUGGGGGCAACCCUGACCGAGCAACGCCGCGUGAGUGAAGAAGGUUUUCGGAUCGUAAAGCUCUGUUGUAAGAGAAGAACGUGUGUGAGAGUGGAAAGUUCACACAGUGACGGUAACUUACCAGAAAGGGACGGCUAACUACGUGCCAG
rnacentral:rRNA from 1 species